GACGAACGCUGGCGGCGUGCCUAAUACAUGCAAGUCGAACGCUUCUUUUUCCACCGGAGCUUGCUCCACCGGGAAAAGAGGAGUGGCGAACGGGUGAGUAACACGUGGGUAACCUGCCCAUCAGAAGGGGAUAACACUUGGAAACAGGUGCUAAUACCGUAUAACAAUCGAAACCGCAUGGUGUUGAUUUGAAAGGCGCUUUCGGGUGUCGCUGAUGGAUGGACCCGCGGUGCAGUAGCUAGUUGGUGAGGUAACGGCUCACCAAGGCCACGAUGCAUAGCCGACCUGAGAGGGUGAUCGGCCACAUUGGGACUGAGACACGGCCCAAACUCCUACGGGAGGCAGCAGUAGGGAAUCUUCGGCAAUGGACGAAAGUCUGACCGAGCAACGCCGCGUGAGUGAAGAAGGUUUUCGGAUCGUAAAACUCUGUUGUUAGAGAAGAACAAGGAUGAGAGUAACUGUUCAUCCCUUGACGGUAUCUAACCAGAAAGCCACGGCUAACUACGUGCCAGCAGCCGCAGUAA
rnacentral:rRNA from 1 species